rnacentral:lncRNA from 1 species
AUUUAAAUGAGUAGUUAUUGUUGCAAACUCCAUUAGAAAUUUGAAUUGAGAUCAGUUUUGGAAAAAGGGAAAGAGGGAUUUAAAAAAAAAUGGCGGGGGGGGGGGGGGGGGUUUGGGUUAAAUUUUUCUCAUUUCAGAUUUCAUAAAUAAAAAGAAAAUUUCUUCAAACAUUUUUUUGAGAGGAUUAAUAUUCAACAGCAUAGUGAAUUGCUCAAAGGCAAACAAAAAAAAUUUAAGUUCAUUAGACCACAUUCAUUCUGUGUCAGAAACCUAUGCUGUGUCAACUAUUUAAUCAAAAUCCAAAUUUAGAGCUGAAUCCAGCUUGAAUGUUGUGUCCAUACUUGCCC